GGGGAUGUGGCUCAGAGGUAGAGCACUCGCCUUCCAUGUGUGAGGCACCGGGUUUAAUUCUCAGCACCA
rnacentral:tRNA from 1 species